rnacentral:rRNA from 1 species
AACGGCCAUACCACGCUGAAUAUACCGGUUCUCGUUAGAUCACCGAAGUCAAGCAUCGUUGGGCGCGGUCAGUACUUGGGUGGGUGACCACCUGGGAACACCGCGUGCCGUU